GACGAACGCUGGCGGCGUGCUUAACACAUGCAAGUCGAACGGUAAGGCCCUUCGGGGUACACGAGUGGCGAACGGGUGAGUAACACGUGGGUGAUCUGCCCUGCACUUCGGGAUAAGCCUGGGAAACUGGGGCUAAUACCGGAUAGGACCCUGGGAUGCAUGUCCUGGGGUGGAAAGCUUUUGCGGUGUGGGUUGGGCCCGCGGCCUAUCAGCUUGUUGGGGGGGUGAUGGCCUACCAAGGCGAAGACGGGUAGCCGGCCGGAGAGGGUGACCGGCCACACUGGGACUGAGAUACGGCCCAGACUCCUACGGGAGGCAGCAGUGGGGAAUAUUGCACAAUGGGCGCAAGCCUGAUGCAGCGACGCCGCGUGAGGGAUGACGGCCUUCGGGUUGUAAACCUCUUUCAGCACCGACGAAGCGCAAGUGACGGUAGGUGCAGAAGAAGGACCGGCCAACUACGUGCCAGCCGCCGCCGUAAAAC
rnacentral:rRNA from 1 species